rnacentral:rRNA from 1 species
UACGAGUGCCUCGAGCGUUAUCCGGAAUCAUUGGGCGUAAAGCGCACGUAGGCGGUUCGUUAUGUCGGAUGUGAAAGCCCUUGGCUUAACCGAGGAAGUGCAUCCGAAACUGGCGAGCUAGAGUACGAAAGAGGAUCGCGGAAUUCCCGGUGUAGAGGUGAAAUUCGUAGAUAUCGGGAGGAACACCGGUGGCGAAGGCGGCGAUCUGGGUCGAUACUGACGCUGAGGUGCGAAAGCGUGGGGAGCGAACAGG